UGGGGAAUAUUGGACAAUGGGGGCAACCCUGAUCCAGCGAUGCCGCGUGUGUGAAGAAGGCCUGCGGGUUGUAAAGCACUUUAGUUGGGGAAGAGGCCAUUUUAGAUGGUAGACAUUACCCAAAGAAUAAGCACCGGCUAACUCUGUGCCAGCAGCCGCGGUAAUACAGAGGGUGCGAGCGUUAAUCGGAAUGACUGGGCGUAAAGGGCGUGUAGGCGGUUUAGUCAGUCAGUUGUGAAAGCUCUGGGCUUAACCUAGAGAGGCCAACUGAGACGGCUAGGCUAGAGUGGUGUAGAGGGUAGUGGAAUUCCCGGUGUAGCGGUGAAAUGCGUAGAUAUCGGGAAGAACACCGGUGGCGAAGGCGGCUACCUGGACACACACUGACGCUGAGGCGCGAAAGCGUGGGUAGCGAACA
rnacentral:rRNA from 1 species